GGGGACGUAGCUCAGCUGGGAGAGCAUACGGUUCGCAUCCGUAAGGUCGAGAGUUCGAUCCUCUUCGUCUCCA
rnacentral:tRNA from 1 species